rnacentral:rRNA from 1 species
CAGUAGCCGCGGUAAUACGGAGGGGGCUAGCGUUGUUCGGAAUUACUGGGCGUAAAGCGCACGUAGGCGGUUUUCUAAGUUAGAGGUGAAAGCCUGGAGCUCAACUCCAGAAUUGCCUUUAAGACUGGAUCACUUGAACGUCGGAGAGGUGAGUGGAAUUCCGAGUGUAGAGGUGAAAUUCGUAGAUAUUCGGAAGAACACCAGUGGCGAAGGCGGCUCACUGGACGACUGUUGACGCUGAGGUGCGAAAGCGUGGGGAGCAAACAGGAUUAGAUACCCCGGUAGUCCCUGUCUCUUAUAA